CAAAGAACACCUACGCACCAGGGGGUGUGAGGAGAGCAAUGGUGCAACUUCUCCGAGGGCUACAGGGAGACAUCUCUCCUGUGGCAGCACUCAGCUGGAUAAUUCACCAGAUCAACGUAGUUCUGAUUCUGGACCCCAGCAACAAAGGGCCAAAAGAAACAAACUACAUCAUUGUAAAUUGGUCCCUUGUGGAGAAGAAAAAGAUCUUUCACUGCUUCGCUUACUG